rnacentral:telomerase_RNA from 1 species
CGCGUGGCGGAUGGGGAGGCUCCAGUCUCACUAACCCUAAUGGCUGCCGCCGUGCUCCCCGCACCCGUCCGCUGUUUUAUUCGCUGACUUUCAGCGGACGGGGGGAGCCGCCUGGGGGGGAAGGGGUUUGCAAUCAAAAAACGUCAGCGACGGGUCUCCCCAGCCCAGCCCGCCCUGGGGUCUCCGUCCCCCCACGCAGCCGGGGGCCUGCCGCGGAGGCUCCCUCCGCCGCACUUCACGGAGGCCGCGGUCGGCCGGUGUCCGCCACUGCCGCCGCGAAGAGUUCGUCUCUGUCAGCCUCGGCGGCGGUGGGGAGCGAGAGGGCUCGUCCCCGCGCCGGGGACCCCAGCAGAGCAAAACGGAGCGGCGUCCUCGGCACAGCCGCCGCGCUUCCCUCAACCGUGGGAUGCGCGGACGGCGCCGCUUCGACACCC